rnacentral:rRNA from 1 species
UACGUAGGGGGCAAGCGUUGUCUGGAAUCAUUGGGCGUAAAGAGCGUGUAGGCGGCUUGGUAAGUCCGCUGUGAAAGUCCAGGGCUCAACCCUGGAAUGCCGGUGGAAACUGUCAAGCUUGAGUCCGGAAGAGGCGAGUGGAAUUCCUGGUGUAGCGGUGAAAUGCGCAGAUAUCAGGAGGAACACCGGUGGCGAAGGCGGGUCUCUGGGCCGAUACUGACGCUGAGGUGCGAAAGCGUGGGGAGCAAACAGG